rnacentral:rRNA from 1 species
GACGAACGCUGGCGGCGUGCUUAACACAUGCAAGUCGAACGGAAAGGCCCUGCUUGCAGGGUACUCGAGUGGCGAACGGGUGAGUAACACGUGGGUGAUCUGCCCUGCACUUCGGGAUAAGCCUGGGAAACUGGGUCUAAUACCGGAUAGGAGCCAUUUUUAGUGUGAUGGUUGGAAAGUUUUUUCGGUGUAGGAUGAGCUCGCGGCCUAUCUGCUUGUUGGUGGGGUAAUGGCCUACCAAGGCGGCGACGGGUAGCCGGCCUGAGAGGGUGGACGGCCACAUUGGGACUGAGAUACGGCCCAGACUCCUACGGGAGGCAGCAGUGGGGAAUAUUGCACAAUGGGCGCCAGCCUGAUGCAGCGACGCCGCGUGGGGGAUGACGGCCUUCGGGUUGUAAACUCCUUUCGCUAGGGACGAAGCUUUUUGUGACGGUACCUAGAUAAGAAGCACCGGCUAACUACGUG